AUAAUGGUGUCUUUAGACACCACCUUUCAUUUUCGAAAUUUUUUCC
rfam:Picea glauca, whole genome shotgun sequence.